GAUUUCACAUAAAGGUCAAUGCCAGUCUUUUAUGCUUAUAACAUCAUAUGUUGUUAUAAUUCCAUCUUUUUGUUUACUCUAAAAUGUUACUCUUUUUAUUUUCCAAAAUUAUUUUGAAGUGAUAACUAACUUGUUCGUCCGAGUCUUUGUAGGAGGGUAUAUACUCUCUUGUCAUGAAUAGAUCAAAAUGAGUCUUGAGGUCAUUACGGGUAAUGUUUUUCUAUUGCUUCUUUUCAUUUGGUUCUUACUAUAUAUGAAAAGUGAUUGUUUUGUUAUAAAUAGUAAAUACUGCACAAAUAUAGUGAGUGAUUGAGUUCUGCAGUUUUGUUUUGAGCUAUUUCUGGCACUUUCUUUUUUAUAUUAUACUGGUAAGGGCUGUAUUGUGUUUUGAUUUUGAAAUGUAAUCAUAGAGUACCGACACCAAACUGUAUUAUAUUUUUCUUGAGCGCAGUAACUAUUCCUACAUGAAGGUUUGAUGAUUUACUGCCUUUAC
rnacentral:lncRNA from 1 species